CACGUAGGGGACGAGCGUUGUCCGGAUUCAUUGGGCGUAAAGCGCGCGUAGGCGGCUCGGAAAGUCGGGCGUGAAAUGCCGGGGCUCAACCCCGGGACUGCGUCCGGUACUUCCGAGCUGGAGGUAGGUAGGGGAGAUCGGAAUUCCUGGUGUAGCGGUGAAAUGCGCAGAUAUCAGGAGGAACACCGGUGGCGAAGGCGGAUCUCUGGGCCUUACCUGACGCUGAGGCGCGAAAGCUAGGGGAGCGAACAGG
rnacentral:rRNA from 1 species